CUGAAAUUGUCUUUUCUGGUGGGUUUUGUCUGCCGAAAUGAAACCGGGUGCUGAAGCCGCCGAUCCCCCUGAGUUGCAUGGCUGUUCCAGGUUUCCGUUUCCACCCGUCCAGGUGGAGUAACUGUCCACUGCCUCUGUAGCUGAUUUACUGCUGCCAUCGCUGCCAGUUGGUGAGCCAGGGUGUUGCCUUCUCGUGGAGUCCAAGUAGCUCCCACAUCCGGCGCCUCUUCCAGCAGUUGUAGAAUGUCCCUGAUGAUUGCAUCUGCUUCAGCUAAGGGCGUUCUUGCCUUGAUCGCUUGAACCAGAGCUGCUAAAGCUGAUGUUGAUUUGAAUUUUGAUGAAGCUCCGGUUAUGAUUUUCCCUUGCCAGUCCCUGAACACUGCUGCUGUUGUUGCGAUUCCUGUCUCCCUUUGAAAAGCCGCGUCUAUAUUAACUUUCAUCUUGUUGCGGGGUGGAGGCCUCCAGGUAAUU